CGGUGCAGUCUGAGGACAGGAUCGCCCUUCGGUCUGAGCAUUGGUAGAGCAUCUCCUAGCCAAGACCCCACACGUCAUCCUGCAGUCUGGAUUCCGUCAUGGUCAGCAGGCAACUCAGCAUCCUCUCUCUGGACCUACUACUCAGACUUUGAAGAGAGCACGUGGAGUGACUCCAGCCAGCCAAUCAGAGGCAUUCAAGACUCCUCUUGAAUCCCUGGAAAGAGUUGCCCUCUACCCUGGCGGAUGUUACAUUAGUGAGAAGCAUGGAGCUGCUGCAGUCAUUUUGCCCCCAAGCUGAAACUGACACUGCAGAAAGAAACUGGAUCCCAGUAAUGGGUACUGGGACUUAUGGUAUCAGCCACCAAGAAAAUACCUUCCUUGUUGGAGCUAAUUCAAGUGGGGUUUCUGUUGCUUGCAACCUAACUGUCUAAGUCUGUGCUGGGCAUACCCUCUUUCGUGAAGCUGUGUUUUCAUCACAGGGCUGGGAGGAAGGAGACAGUUUGUAUAUUGGUGACGUCCAGGAGGGAAAGGAAACAGAAUGAGGGAAAGGGCUUGAGUGGGGAGGGCUGCUUGGCUGGGCAGGCCAGGGCUUCUUGACGGGUGCCGCUCACUGACAAACAGGAGCUGAGGCUGAUGGGAAAGAACAUUCUAACAAAGGGUGCCGCCAUCACAGGGCCCAGGUUAGGUCGCUUGAUAGAUCCCAGAAACAGAAAGGAAGCAUCAUGGCAGCCACACAUCUUCUGAAGAUCUCAAGGCCUAAUUCAUGUCCCACCUCCUUCUGGGAUGUUCCAUGACUGGUCUCAGGUCCCUCCUUUGGGCUCCAGUGCUCCCAAGCUCUACCUGCUUUGCACUUCAAACUUCACAUGCAAAAUAGCGUACUAUGUAUCAUCUUCA